rnacentral:rRNA from 1 species
GAUGAACGCUGGCGGCGUGCCUAAUACAUGCAAGUCGAGCGAACAGAUGAGGAGCUUGCUCCUCUGACGUUAGCGGCGGACGGGUGAGUAACACGUGGAUAACCUACCUAUAAGACUGGGAUAACUUCGGGAAACCGGAGCUAAUACCGGAUAAUAUAUUGAACCGCAUGGUUCAAUAGUGAAAGACGGUUUUGCUGUCACUUAUAGAUGGAUCCGCGCCGCAUUAGCUAGUUGGUAAGGUAACGGCUUACCAAGGCAACGAUGCGUAGCCGACCUGAGAGGGUGAUCGGCCACACUGGAACUGAGACACGGUCCAGACUCCUAAGGGAGGCAGCAGUAGGGAAUCUUCCGCAAAGGGCGAAAGCCUGACGGAGCAACGCCGCGUGAGUGAUGAAGGUCUUCGGAUCGUAAAACUCUGUUAUUAGGGAAGAACAAAUGUGUAAGUAACUAUGCACGUCUUGACGGUACCUAAUCAGAAAGCCACGGCUAACUACGUG